rnacentral:lncRNA from 1 species
AGACGCGUCCCACUAGGAUCAGAUGUGAAAACACAAGGCUGUCAAAGUUGAAUCCUCUGUCCAAAUACUGCCAUUGUUCUAAUGACUGCAUUAUUCUGAUUAAUAAUAGGAGAAACAAAUACAUAAAUCUGUGUUCUUAACUUCAAAAUACUAUAUAAUCCCGACUGCAGUACGUAGUUUUCAUUUCAAAAUGAAGCAGUUCGUGUUUUGUUUGAGUAUUGUUAUCUUCAUUACAUUCCUGGCUAACAGAGAAGUAAUGGCCCAAAGUAAUGAGGGAGAAAUACAAGGAACUCGUCCUAAGAUUGUUCCAUCAGCUAAUGUUGGUAUAAUGCAACAAACUCCUCCAUCGGAACAUCUCCUACAAUCAUCUCCUGUCAAUGUUGUUAUACCAGGUCCUAUUGUAAGUUUUAUUUAUUUUCUAUAAUUUAAAGGAAAAAUUGUGUCUUUCAAUAGUUAAAAUAUUAUUUAACUAGAAAACAUUCAUAUUCAUAAUUAGCCU